rnacentral:rRNA from 1 species
GUGGGGAAUAUUGGACAAUGGGGGGAACCCUGAUCCAGCCAUGCCGCGUGUGUGAAGAAGGCCUUUUGGUUGUAAAGCACUUUAAGCGAGGAGGAGGCUACCGAGAUUAAUACUCUUGGAUAGUGGACGUUACUCGCAGAAUAAGCACCGGCUAACUCUGUGCCAGCAGCCGCGGUAAUACAGAGGGUGCAAGCGUUAAUCGGAUUUACUGGGCGUAAAGCGGGCGUAGGUGGCCAAUUAAGUCAAAUGUGAAAUCCCCGAGCUUAACUUGGGAAUUGCAUUCGAUACUGGUUGGCUAGAGUAUGGGAGAGGAUGGUAGAAUUCCAGGUGUAGCGGUGAAAUGCGUAGAGAUCUGGAGGAAUACCGAUGGCGAAGGCAGCCAUCUGGCCUAAUACUGACACUGAGGUGCGAAAGCAUGGGGAGCAAACAGGAUUAGAAACCCGUGUAGUCC